rnacentral:misc_RNA from 1 species
UGGCUUGCUUUCGGUUGCUGACAACAAAGGCAAGAACGCCCCUUUUCUUACAUAGAUGUUCAGCGUGUUCAUUCUGCACAACAACAUCAGCUAAACCAUAUUCUUUCCCUGGUCCGUCACAGCCCCCCAUCGCGCAGUGCGAAGCAUCCCUAGAAACAUGUGUUGCAUCGAUGGGCCAGCUCAGCCAUGCGAGAGCACGGCCAUCCGCCGCCACAACCUCCACCCGCCCCCCGCUCUGCUCGUCGCCUCAAACUCUACCCGCCCCAUCAUGCAGGUCCCCACCUCUGGUGCAUCCCUCGCGAGGUGGCUCGGGCUCCCCCCACCACACCAGUGGGCAGCGUGAGGGCCGGGGGGCGGGAUGCGUUCCCAGUCGCGCCGACACCCUGCGUCCUCAUAGGGAUCGCACAAGCUGUGCGUACUGACGCAGGUCGCUCCGACGCCACGCCGUCCAGGACCUCACCGCCGACACCAGCAGCGAUGCAUUGCUCUGGCAUGCCCGCGUCGUAGGCGCCCGACUCUGACACCACCAUAAACUGGUUGGGCAUUGCCAGGGAUAGAGGGUGGCCGCUCGGCUUGCCCACCGCGCAGGGGUGUACCGGACCCUGUGAUACCACGCACUGUGAGGGGUUCCCCCCGUCAUCUAGGUUCAGCAUCUCCGC